GGGGAAACUCAUUUGCGACAUGUAUUCACACAUAAAAGCAUUUGAGGUGAAAUUAGCGCUGCUUUUGGAACAAGUGAAAAAGCGCAACUUCGUCCAUCUUCCUGCUACCCAAAACCUGUCGACAGAGAACCCAGCGGUCCUGUUCCCAGCUGAAAAGUGCGUGGAAGCACUGGAAAUGCUGAAGGCGGAGUUCGGUGUGCGAUUCAGUGAACUACAUGUUCAUGCAAAAGAAAUCCGUCUUUUUCAGAACCCCUUUGUUGCCGACAUUGAUGAAGCCCAGCCUUCAUAUCAGUUUGAGUUGGCUGAGUUACAGAACUGUGAUGUUCUGAAAGACGCAUUCAAGCCCAACAGUCUCAUUGACUUCUAUGCCGCCCUCCCAAACGACACAUAUCCAAACAUCAAAAAACACGCAAUGAAAAUGUCCACAGUUUUUGGCAGCACGUAUAUCUGCGAGAAAACCUUUUCUCGCAUGAAACUGCUGAAAACCCCGAUGAGAUCAAGAUUGACAGAUGAACAUUUGCAUCAGUGCUUGAGACUGGCUGUAACUAGAAUGGAACCUGAUAUUCAACUUCUCACCAGCCAGAUGCAGGCCCACAGUUCACACUGAUGAACAUACAUAGGGAAGUUGAUGAGAGAGAGCUGCAAACAGCGGUGUCUACAAGCCUACUGGAACCUACAAAAGGAUUAUAAGGAAGGAGCACAAGAACUUUAAGAGACUGCUCAUAUGUGUCAGAGAGAUUCUGCUCUGACAACUGAGCUGAACUUUUAUCUGUUAAGAUUGUGCAUGGCACGACAGAAAGUUAAUGUUCCAUGGCUUUUUUUUCUAUGAAGAACCCAGAGAGAGUUAUUUAGUUAUUAUUUAUUUCCUGUUUUUUCUGUGAAGAACUCAGAGAGGGUUAUUUAGUUAUUAUUUAUUUCAUUAAUAGUGUUAUUAUUUGUUUCCUGACUUUUUUUCUGUAAAGAACCUGGAAAGGG